rnacentral:rRNA from 1 species
GACGAACGCUGGCGGCGUGCUUAACACAUGCAAGUCGAACGGAAAGGCCCCUUUGGGGGUACUCGAGUGGCGAACGGGUGCGUAACACGUGAGUAACCUGCCCUUGACUUCGGGAUAACUUCAGGAAACUGGGGCUAAUACCGGAUAGGAAUCCUUGCUGCAUGGUGGGGGUUGGAAAGCUUCGGCGGUUUUGGAUGGACUCGCGGCUUAUCAGCUUGUUGGUGGGGUAGUGGCUUACCAAGGCUUUGACGGGUAGCCGGCCUGAGAGGGCGACCGGCCACAUUGGGACUGAGAGACGGCCCAGACUCCUACGGGAGGCAGCAGGGGGGAAUAUUGAACAAUGGGCGGAAGCCGGAUGCAGCAACGCCGCGGGCGGGAGGACGGCCUUAGGGUUGGAAACCGCUUUCAGCAGGGGCGAAGCUUGUGGUGACGGUACCUGCAGAAGAAGCACCGGCUAACUACGUG